rnacentral:rRNA from 1 species
UACGUAGGGUGCGAGCGUUGUCCGGAAUUAUUGGGCGUAAAGAGCUUGUAGGCGGUUUGUCGCGUCUGCUGUGAAAUUUCGGGGCUCAACCCCGAACUUGCAGUGGGUACGGGCAGACUAGAGUGUGGUAGGGGAGACUGGAAUUCCUGGUGUAGCGGUGAAAUGCGCAGAUAUCAGGAGGAACACCGAUGGCGAAGGCAGGUCUCUGGGCUGUAACUGACGCUGAGGAGCGAAAGCAUGGGGAGCGAACAGG